UACGAAUGGGGCAAGCGUUGUUCGGAAUCACUGGGCUUAAAGCGUAUGUAGGCGGACUUGAAAGUCAGGAGUGAAAUCCCAGGGCUCAACCCUGGAACUGCUCUUGAAACUCCAAGUCUAGAAUCCCGGAGGGGCCAGUAGAAUUCCUAGUGUAGAGGUGAAAUUCGCAGAUAUUAGGAGGAAUACCAGUGGCGUAGGCGACUGGCUGGACGGGUAUUGACGCUCAGAUACGAAAGCGUGGGGAGCAAACAGG
rnacentral:rRNA from 1 species